CUGGUUGAUCCUGCCAGAGGCCAUUGCUAUCAGGGUUUGACUAAGCCAUGCGAGUCGAGAGGUGUAAGACCUCGGCAUACUGCUCAGUAACACGUGGUUAACCUGCCCUAAGGUGGAGAAUACUCCCGGGAAACUGGGGCUAAUGCUCCAUAGUGGAUGCAUCCUGGAAUGGUGCAUCCUCGAAAGAUCCGUCGCCUUAGGAUGGGACUGCGUCCGAUUAGGUUGUUGGCGGGGUAACGGCCCACCAAGCCAUUGAUCGGUACGGGUUGUGGGAGCAAGAUCCCGGAGAUGGAUUCUGAGACAUGAAUCCAGGCCCUACGGGGCGCAGCAGGCGCGCAAACUUUACAAUGCGAGCAAUCGUGAUAAGGAAACCCUGAGUGCCUGUCGAUGCAGGCUGUUCAUAUAUCUAAAUCAUAUGUGAAGAAAGGGCAGGGCAAGACCGGUGCCAGCCGCCGCGGUAAUACCGGCUGCUCGAGUGAUGGCCACUAUUACUGGGUUUAAAGCGUCCGUAGCUUGACUGUUAGGUCCCUUGGGAAAUCUUCACGCUUAACGUGAAGGCGUCUAAGAGAUACCGGCAGUCUUGGAACUGGGAGAGGUAAACCGUACUUCGGGGGUAGGAGUGAAAUCUUGUAAUCCUCGAGGGACGACCUAUGGCGAAGGCAGUUUACCAGAACAGCUUCGACAGUGAGGGACGAAAGCUGGGGGAGCAAACGGGAUUAGAUACCCCGGUAGUCCCAGCCGUAAACAAUGUGCGUUAGGUGUGUCGGUAACCACGCGUUACUGAUGCGCCGAAGAGAAAUCGUGAAACGCACCACCUGGGAAGUACGGUCGCAAGGCUGAAACUUAAAGGAAUUGGCGGGGGAGCACCAC
rnacentral:rRNA from 1 species